CUAUAUAAUUUGAGAUUAUUUUAGUAAAUAUGUGCAUGUUUAGUAUUGUUAUAUUAAAAUGGUUAAACUUUGUAGCAGUCUGCACUUCUCUAUCAUUGUACUUACACAGUCUAUUGUAAUUACCUAAUUAUAAGUUCACAUCUCCCACAGACUAUAAUUUCUGGGAGUUCAUGCAACAAAUCUGAAUUGUUCAGCUAGCACAGUGCUCAAUUAAUAAUUGUUAAAUGAAUGGAUGCGUGAAUGAAUUGUCCUUUACCUUUCUGAUAUGGCAAAUGAUUAACACUGGAUUAUAUAUAAUGGAAUCUCUUGUUUUGUGCCUAAAUAUAUGUAGGAGUGUCAGAUUUGCAAUGCAUAUGAAGCUAGAUCUCAAACAUCCAUAUCUUGGUGUAGAAGGCCUCUUCAUUUUACAAAGAGCUCAUCUGCUGAGGCAUUUCUUGUUACAGAAUUUUGAUGGUGACUGUGUUUCCACUUGGUUGACAAUCUUUCUUCCUACCCUUCUUUUUUUUUUUUUUUUUGAGAUUUCCAUUUGGAGAAAACAGAAAGUCAGCAGAUUCUUUUUCUCCCUUGAGUUAAUUCAAAGCGCUGAUGAAGGAAAAGAGGGAGAGUGAAUCUAUAAAGGACAAUGGAAAAGUCCCCUUUCCAUAUUUUGUCUGGAGGAUCUGAGAUUAGAUUGGGAGUUUCUGUAGCCUUGGUAUGAAAGAAUACAAAGGACUUUAGCUCUAAAAGUAUUUAAAGCCAUUUUUGUCACCAACAGGAUAGGCCAAAUGAAAGCUCCUUCCUCCCUUGGUCCCAGGUGUAGAUUUGGGGAAGUGGGCAGCUAUUUCAAAUCUAUUACCAAAACGCUUUGAGUGAGCACCUCCUCUGCCCCAGGUUUUAUGCUAAACACCAUGGUUGCAAAGAGGCAUAAGACUCUUCAAGGAACUGAAGCUCUUUGGGUGGGGGAAAGGGUAACAGGUUUUGUACAGUUAUUAGCAAGUUCAGUGACCUCACAAACCUGCCCUGUGAGUGGCAUCUUAGAUACUCUGGGCUACAAGAGCCUGAGCAGAUUCAACAACAACAAUUUUUGUGUGCAUGUGGCAUGAAUCAUUACAAACAACUUUAUAUUCAUUAUAUUUUUUGUUCUUCACAACACCUCCUAGGAGCUGACUUUUAUAAAUUUUACUUUAUUAUUAUUUUUUUGAGAUGGAGUCUUGCUCUGAUGCCCAGGCUGGAGUGCAGUGGUGUGAUCUCAGCUCAGUGCAACCUCCACCUCCUGGGUUCAAGUGAUUCUCCUGCCUCAGCCUCCCAAGUAGCUGGGAUUAUAGGAACCUGCCACCAUGCCCUGCUAAUUUUUCUAUUUUUAGUAGAGAUGGAGUUUUGCCAUGUUGACCAGGCUGGUCUCAAACUCCUGACCUCAAGUGACCCUCCCACCUUGGCCUCCCAAAGGAUUAUAGGUGUGAGCCACUGUGCCCAGCCUGUAAAUUUUAUUUUUAAUUGACAAAUAAUUAUAAGUACUAUAUAUUUAUGGGAUAUGAUGUGAUGUUUUGAUAUAUGUUUAUAUUAUGAAAUGACUAAAUCAAGCUAAUUAACAAUUUCAUCACCUCACAUAUCUUUUUUUGGUGAAAACAUCUAAAAUCUACUAUUUUAGUAAUUUUGAAAUAUACAGUACAUUAUUAUUUAUUAUAAUCACCAUUCUGUGCAAAAGAUCCUGAAAGCUUAUUCCUCCUGUCUAACUGAAAUUCUGUGUCUUUUGACCAACAUAUCCCCUUUCUCCAUUCGCCCUCGUCCCCCAGCUCCUGGUAACCACCAUUCUUCUGUAUACUUCUAUGAAUUUGACUUUUUAAAAUGCUACACGUAAGUGAUGGACAUCAUGCAGUAUUCAUUUUUCUAUGUCUGGUUUAUUUCACUUAGCCUGAUGUUCCCCAGGUUCAUCUGUGUUUUCACAAAUGACAGAAUUUCCUCCUUUUAAAAGGCUGCAUAGAAUUCAAUUGUGUCAGCAUAUUACUUUUUUUUAAUCCAUUCAUUGAUAAUGGACAUGUAGGUUGCUUCCAUAUUUUGACUAUUGUGAAUAGCCAAAUAAAUGUGGGAGUGUAGAUAUUUCUUUAUCAUAUUAAGUUCCUUUCUUUUGGAUUAUACACCCCAAAGUGGGAUUGCUUGGUUUUCUGAGGAACCUAGGAAUUAUCUUUUAUUUUUCUUAUUUUGCAGAUUAGCAAACUGAGGCUCUGAGAGAGACUCUGCAAUUAGGGCUUGACUAUAACCUGGUUAAUAAGUAAUAAAAAAAAGGUAACGUUUACUAAGCUCGUACUACGUGCCAGAUGCUGUUCUGUUUUAAUGCAUUAUUGCCUUUAAUUCUCAGUAACAAUCCUGUGGAAUGUUGUUACCAUUUCCCUGUCCCCACCUCCUUUUUGCAGAUGAUAAAAGGAUGCAUAGAGAGAUUAGGACAACUGCGUAAGGCUAACAGGUGCCAGUGGUAGGUUUUAAACCCAGAGAGUUAGGCUCUGUAGAACUUACACCUCAAUAUUUACAUAAGCAACAUGAUUUAGUAUAAUAGCUUGGAAACUCAAGACUCCAUUUUGAGCCCUGAAUCUGCCUCUCAUCUUUUUGCUACUUAAAGUGUGGUCCACGGACCAACAGCCUUAGCCUCACUUGGGAGCUGUUAGAAAUACAGGAUCUGAGCUCCACCCCAGACUGACUGGAUCAGAAUCUUCAUCUUACUUAGAUCUCCAGAUGAUUCACCUGCUCACUGAAGGAGGUUGGACCAUAUCUCCUGGGCUAUGUUUUGCUCAAAGAGGCCUCUAUACUCCUCCUUCCCAGUCCAGGCUGCAGAGACCAUGGAGCCCAGGGUACAGGAGGGAGAGGUGAGUGAAAGUGUGUGUGGAUGAGACAUGCUGUUUUGUGAAGAGUUGUUCAUCUCUUGAUGUUUAAGACCAUAGCUUAGAGAACUUUCAUUCUCUAAAGCUCUCUAGAUUUUUAAGAAAUUACUGAAGCAUUUCCCUUACUAAAUCCACUCAUUUGCUACAUGCAACUUGGACUUUCUGGAAACUUCUGAAGAUUCACAGAGUCCAUAAAUGUCCUUGUCCUCCCUUUGGCUUAAAUUAGUUCAUCUAUGUUUUGGUCACUUUCAGCAAGAUGAGUUACAAGAACCCAGUCAGGCCAGGUGUGGUGGCUCACGCCUGUAAUCCCAGCACUUUGGGAGGCCAAGGCAGGUGGAUCACGAGGUCAAGAGAUUGAGACCUUCCUGGUCAACAUGGUGAAACCCUGUGUCUACUAAAAAUACAAAAAUUAGCUGGACGUGGUGGCAUGCACCUGUAGUCCCAGCUACUCAGGAGGCUGAGGCAGGAGAAUCGUUUGAACCUGGGAGGUGAAGGUUGCAGUGAGCCGAGAUCACACCACUGCACUCCAGCCUGGUGACACAGCGAGACUCCAUUUCAAAAACGAAACAAAACAGAACAACAACAACAACAACAACAAAAAACCCAAAAAGAACCCAGUCAUCACAGAAUCUGUACAUGGCCUGUGGGUGGUAGAUGCUGGCCCUACACAUGAACGGUUCCAUGGUCCUCAUCCAUGACAGAGUAGGACCUAUGACCCAGAUCCUUUGGCAGUGAGUUCAGUGCUCUUUCUUCUUAUGCCAUGCUCGGCCAUGAGGAGAAAUCCUGAAGUUCUGCACAUUCUUUGAAAAAACACAGUGAUGGAAGUGAGACAGAUUGUGGGCACAGGGCCAUAGCCCUGUUGAAUCUGCACUUGUUCCACAAGGUUUGAGUUGUUCCCUCAGACUUUCAGAAAAUCAUUGUUGUGCUAAUGUUUCUUCUUGCUUUCUUUUAAGGAAAAGUGUUUGAGAAGAGUACAACACAGCCACCACCAUUUUUUCCUAGGUCAACAAGCACGCCUGUGUUCUGAUAAUUAAGAGUCCUAAUGAUACACAUCUAAUGGUAAAAAGUUCAGGGUUACUGACUUUAGUCAUGGCUGGAUCCAGGUGUUUAACAUGAUUUUAUCAGGAAGUUGCUUCUCUCUCUGCCUCUGCCUUCCUUGGCAUUGAAUUCAUUUUUAGGAUGUGUGGGGGUUUACUGUUGAGGUGGUCACUGGCAGCUCUAGGUUUAUGUUCUCACAAAUGAAUGACUCUUUCUUGAUCACACCAGCAGUACUUCUAGGAUUAUCUCUUAUUGGACCAAUUUAUGUCCCAUUUCUACUGCUGAGCCAUUUCAUCAGUUCAUUGUUAAACCAUUCAGACAAAAUACAUUGACUGCUUUCCAUGUUCCAGCAGCCACACACUUUUUAUGAGGAGCCUUCAAAUAUUAAAAUAAAGGAAUACUAGCAGUAUUUUUUAGGAAUAAUGUGUUUUUCAAGUUCAAUGCUAUAUUACAUUAAGCACUGUGAAGCCAGGCUGUGGGAACAAUAAAGCUUUUUUUGAUGAACCUCAAAAUUGCAAAUUGAGGUGGUGAAUGACAGUCAUCUCCUUUUCUCUGAGGAGCCCAAAUGUCAGAAUGCACCCAUGUCUGAGGUCAUCCUUCCUUUGAAAUACCUGCCACGAUGACUGCAGCUCCUGCAGGUUUCCCUCCCCAGGUCCCGUGGGAAGAUGUCCGUUAUCUCUUUGAUGAGAUCAUGUAUGGAGGCCACAUCACAGAUGACGGGGAUUGCAAACUGUGUCGGGUGUAUUUAGAAGAAUUCAUGAAUCCAUCUCUGCUAGCUGCCCUGUCAGGAACACAUGCAUGUGGUGAAAAACCGAGACUUCCAGCCAACAGCCAUGUGAGCGAGCCAUCUUGGAAGUGGAUCCUCCAGCCCCAGUCAAGCCUUCAGAUGACUGCAGCUUUGGCCAACAUCUUGACUGCAACUUCCUGAGAGACCCUGAGCAAGAAUCACACCAUGAAGAUGUUCCUAGUUUUCUGAUUCUCAGAAACUGGCUGCCAUGUGAAGAAGGACAUGUUUGCUUCCACUUCUGCCACGAUUCAGUGUGAGAAUGGACUAAUACAGGGUCUGUGUUGGACAGGAAGGACAUGAAGAGAGGAAGGGCUGGUGGAGAGAAUGCAGAGUAGUCAUAAGACACGAGCCUCCUCUGAUGGUCGACUUUGCCUUGAGAACUCAGAUGACCUUGCCAGAAUCUUCUUAGAUAGCUUGGAACUCUAGAACAUUUCUACUCACCCUUCUUCCUUCUCCCAUUCACUCAAGGCCAGACCUGCAAUGUGAUCUGACAACUCCCAGCCUUACAAGGUUCUCUUCCAAUUUUCUCUCACAGGGAUUUUCCCUAAUAAAAUCAUCACACAUUUAA